rnacentral:rRNA from 1 species
UAGGGAAUCUUCGGCAAUGGGGGCAACCCUGACCGAGCAACGCCGCGUGAGUGAAGAAGGUUUUCGGAUCGUAAAGCUCUGUUGUAAGUCAAGAACGAGUGUGAGAGUGGAAAGUUCACACUGUGACGGUAGCUUACCAGAAAGGGACGGCUAACUACGUGCCAGCAGCCGCGGUAAUACGUAGGUCCCGAGCGUUGUCCGGAUUUAUUGGGCGUAAAGCGAGCGCAGGCGGUUUGAUAAGUCUGAAGUUAAAGGCUGUGGCUCAACCAUAGUUCGCUUUGGAAACUGUCAAACUUGAGUGCAGAAGGGGAGAGUGGAAUUCCAUGUGUAGCGGUGAAAUGCGUAGAUAUAUGGAGGAACACCGGUGGCGAAAGCGGCUCUCUGGUCUGUAACUGACGCUGAGACUCGAAAGCAUGGGUAGCGAACAGGAUUAGAUACCCUGGUAGUCCACGCCGUAAACGAUGAGUGCUAGGUGUUGGAUCCUUUCCGGGAUUCAGUGCCGCAGCUAACGCAUUAAGCACUCCGCCUGGGGAGUACGACCGCAAGGUUG